GAUGAACGCUGGCGGCGUGCCUAAUACAUGCAAGUCGAGCGAACAGAUGAUGAGCUUGCUCCUCUGACGUUAGCGGCGGACGGGUGAGUAACACGUGGAUAACCUACCUAUAAUACUGGGAUAACUUCGGGAAACCGGAGCUAAUACCGGAUAAUAUAUUGAACCGCAUGGUUCAAUAGUGAAAGACGGUUUUGCUGUCACUUAUAGAUGGAUCCGGGGCGGAUUAGCUAGUUGGUAAGGUAACGGCUUACCAAGGCAACGAUGCGUAGCCGACCUGAGAGGGUGAUCAGCCACACUGGAACUGAGACACGGUCCAGACUCCUACGGGAGGCAGCAGUAGGGAAUCUUCCGCAAUGGGCGAAAGCCUGACGGAGCAACGCCGCGUGAGUGAUGAAGGUCUUCGGAUCGUAAAACUCUGUUAUUAGGGAAGAACAAAUGUGUAAGUAACUAUGCCCGUCUUGACGGUACCUAAUCAGAAAGCCCCGGCUAACUACGUG
rnacentral:rRNA from 1 species